rnacentral:sRNA from 1 species
UGAACGCGUUGGCGAUGUCCAGGGAUAC